CUGAGUGUAAAAACUCCCAAACCCAUUGUGAACAUACCACUGUUGCUUCGGCGGAUCCGCCCCGGGCGCUCCCUUUUACAGGGCGUGCCCCGGACCCAGGCGCCCGCCGGGGGACCUAAACUCUCUGUAUUCUAACGAGUAUCUCUGAGUCUGAUUUAUACAAAUCAAAUCA
rnacentral:misc_RNA from 1 species